UACGAAGGGGGCUAGCGUUGCUCGGAAUGACUGGGCGUAAAGGGCGCGUAGGCGGCUUGCACCGUCAGAUGUGAAAUUCCUGGGCUUAACCUGGGGCUGCAUUUGAUACGUGUGGGCUUGAGUGCGGAAGAGGGUCGUGGAAUUCCCAGUGUAGAGGUGAAAUUCGUAGAUAUUGGGAAGAACACCGGUGGCGAAGGCGGCGACCUGGUCCGUGACUGACGCUGAGGCGCGAAAGCGUGGGAGCGAACAGG
rnacentral:rRNA from 1 species